UGGGGAUUGUGUAUGCUGAUAAUGGG
rnacentral:piRNA from 1 species